CCAUAACUUCUCAAAUUUCCAUUAUAAAUGUCAAUAAUAUUUUACAUGGCUUGAUAUUGAUCGCUUCAAACAAUUGGAUUACUGGAGUGGUAAAGCAAUAGCUAUUUAAUACGACUACUUUUCUGACCGUUUAAAUAACGACUAAAAUAUAUCUACAAGAUCCUUACCACUGAAUCAUACCUUACAAACCUAUAUCUGUCAGAUUACAAUAUUAUACUUUAUGACAAAUACAAUACAUCUGUGAAAUACACAGAAAAGAAAUAUCAACAUACAAAAUAAAUAAAACGCACAAAGACAAGAAAAUGAUGAAAAUAGCCUAAUUUCCACGUAGGCACCGUUCAAAUAUUUUAGAGUGUAAGUAAA